UACGAAGGGGGCUAGCGUUGCUCGGAAUCACUGGGCGUAAAGGGUGUGUAGGCGGGUUUUUAAGUCAGAGGUGAAAUCCUGGAGCUCAACUCCAGAACUGCCUUUGAUACUGAAAGUCUUGAGUAUGGGAGAGGUGAGUGGAACUGCGAGUGUAGAGGUGAAAUUCGUAGAUAUUCGCAAGAACACCAGUGGCGAAGGCGGCUCACUGGCCCAUUACUGACGCUGAGGCACGAAAGCGUGGGGAGCAAACAGG
rnacentral:rRNA from 1 species